GCCCAUACGGACCACAAAACUUCUUCUUCUGCAACAGUCUGUUGGCGGUUGAUGGUUGAUGGUGGUUUGAAUGUUUUUUUUCUUAAAAGUGUUUUUUUUUGCUUAUACUUCGAGACGCAACUGACAUACAGCCUCGCAGUCGUCGUCGCGAGCAAAGUUAGUUGAAGCUGAAAAGUAAAGAUUGGCGUAAGGCGAGAAGAAAAAAAAUACUGCGAGUUGAGUGAAUUAAGGUGCGCGCGCGCGAGCGAUCUCUGGCGAAUCAUCUGGCCGUGGCCGGUUGCGGGUUGUUGGUGCAAAACGGAUUGAAAAGUGUUAAAAAAUCCCCUAAACUGGCUGCCAGGUUUGUUGGCUUAGGAAGGCAGAGGGAAGGAAGGAAAAAAUAAAAACAUUCAAUCCAAUCUCUCCCCCUAAAGUUCGCCAACAGCAACGGCUUUGGUUCUUGACGUCGCGGCGCGGCAAACUCGCAUACGAUCGCAUUUCCAGUCCCGGUUUGUCAGUUUGGUUGCGGUCUGUUUCUCAAGUGCACACCGGAACACUGCAGGUUCCCACAUUUGUUUUUUUUUGGAAAAGUUAAACUCUGAUACCCCAGAUUGUGGAUGUUUUUCGGUAGAACCUAGGCGUUGAGGUCAGUGUUCGUUGUCAGGUGCUGUGGCUUUACGCGUACCUACGCGUCAAAAAAGGUGAAAGAUUGUGCCGAAUUUGCAUCUUUGUGCGCAGCCACGUUUGACUGACAGCUGCUAGCGUUCAAGUGUGGAAAGGUGAAGUCAUCAUCGACCAGCUGUGCUAAAAAUUGUUCAAAUCUAGGGGAAAACCUACCGAAAAGCUGCUGAAGCACACGCGAAAUCUUCUACAAAUCAUCGAAGUUUAAGUAACUGUUCUACCCCAUACAUCAAACGGAAAGCUUUCCUCAAGUGCCCUUAUUCCCUUAAAAGGUUUGUCCGGAAAUCGGAUGACCUAAACGAAAGCAAAGUUCUCACGAAAUUCAACCGGGCGAAACUGAAAUCUGACGUCUCGUCUGAGAAGUGUUUCCCAAAGUGAAAAGUGAAUAAGCCCGAAGUUGCAGAAAGCGAAAAGUUCUUUCCCAUAACAAGUUAACAACAGCAAAACCUCCUCGGAAGGAAGUGAAUAAUUUUGCCGUGUCUCUUUGUUUUGCGGAAAACAAGUGCUAAUAACCGCAAGUGAGUAAAAAUCAAACGAAGAAAAAUUCAAGUUCGAUUUACCCAAGUAAAAUCCCAACAACAACUGUGUGUGACAAACGCGAUUGAAGUGAUCUCGAUUCCAAGGUUCGUUUUGUUUUGUCCUCCGGCUAAAACCAAUUGGAUGCGGUUGAGAUUUGGCGUUUUUAUUUUUUAACAAGGUUCCUAAAGUCACAUCUAUCAGCGGGUAACGGAAUUGUCUGAUUCGGAGUAGUUCAAUCCAAGCCAGAUCGGAAAAACUCCAAUCAACAGUGCAACUCGAGAGACUCAGAGGCAAUAUUGAAACCCAAAUCUCCAAAACGAGAACCCAGAACCAGCACUGUCACAUCAUUAAAAGGGCAUUUCAACUUGAAACAACACAACGAAAAAAAAACCAUUGAAACCUGGGUGACAUAGCGUAGAUCCAGUUUCCCGAUAACGAAACAAGUCAACUUAAAUUAAAAAAAGAGAAGAAACUAACCUCACACAUAAAUUCAGAAUGGAAGUAGUUCAAUCGACCCCAUUAAUGGCCAUGGCAAACGGAGGCCAGGCCACCACACCGAAUGGAGGAACAUCAUCCUCGUCGCAGUCUUCAUCGGCCGUGACCGCAUUACGUGCUGCUUCUGGUGCUGGAGCUGGCCCAUUUCAACGGGAGAUCCGAGAAUGGCAACAUGUCGAUCCGAAUACGGGAGCCCUGCUGACUGGACGCCUGGAGGCCGACCGCUGGGUGAAUGGGCCCCUCAAUAGCUUCGGGAAGAUGGUAACACAGAACAUGUCCUCGCCCGAUGGCAGCACCCAGCACACGCAAAAGAAGCAGAUGGAAAUUCUCCAGGCGCGAACAGCAUCUGGCUCGCUGCAGGUUGUCCGGGCUCAAACCGUUCAGACCACCUCAUCCCGGUGGUCUUCCUCUACGCUACAUUCGGAAAUAAGCUCCAGCUCCAGCAACUCAGACAGCAGACACAAAACAUCCGCCUUGAAUGGUUAUUCCAAUCAUCAUCCUUCAUCGGGAUUUUCGAGACUUCAUCAUCAGGAACAGUUUCUCCACAGGCCACCCGUGAGCGCCGCUAGAUUACUGAAUCUGGCAGCAGCAUCGUCAGCAUCCAUCAGCAGCAGCAGCAACAACAACAACUUCCUACACAGUUCUAGCGGCUCUCCUCUGACGACAAAUCAUCCCUCGUCCUCCGCCGCCCAUUCAUUGCUAGCGAACACAACGACUUCAUUGUCAUCGUCGUCGUCGUUGUCGUCAGCCAACAACGGUUCAUCAACGGGUUUGCUGCUCAAUGGCCACAAUCAUCAUCAUCAUCACACUAGUUUUGGAAGUAACAGCUUCAGCAAGAGCUCCACUAUUAGUUCCAGCAGUAGUUCCAGUGGCCCAGUGGUGCAAAUUGCAGAUAGUGUGGGAGGAUUAACAGCAGCAUCCCACCACAAUCACCUCCUUAAUAGGUCCCCACACGAUAGCAGCAGCAGCAGCAGUUGGUUCGAUAAAUUCAAAGAUAUCAGCGUGAAGGAGAAACCGGCCGAUGCCGAUAGCUUCCUGAGCCGGGGGAAAAGUAUCUCGAUCGAAGACCUAUCGACGGAGCGCGACGAAGCCAACUUUGAUGACGACGUCGUCGAGCCUACGCAGUGGAAACGAGUUAGCAAAAUCCGACGUUCACUUCAGUUCCCAAGGAAAACGGCCCCAAAGUCAAGCACCCGUCCGGCAGACCUUCCGGAAAAUUCGGGCAGUGUGUGGAAAAUUCGGCAGGAGCUGGAAAACGGCCGCCGACUGAACACCGCCAUGAGGAACAACCACAUCGAUUUCGUGGCUUUGGAUAACAUCCUUAAAAGUGUAUCGGAUACGCCUUCGCCUACGACGACAAAGCAGCAGCAGCAGUCCGAUAACACGCCCCGAAGUCCAUCUGGGAAAUCUACGACUUCCACUUUUCUGACUGCCGAGUCGUUGAAGGAAAUUCGUGGAAAACUGAGAAGGUUGAGCAAUGAGUCGUUGUAUCGAGACGAUAUGAGCCCUGGCGAUGAACGUAAAGCUAUGGAGGAUGACGAUGCCGUUACAAUCACCGAAGUUGAAACACGAAUGGGACAGUUGCAGACGAGCAGUUCAUCGGACUCGUACAAAAGCAACAGCCUGGAAUCUAACCGCAAGCCUUCGAUCACCGAAAGUAUUUCCGAUGAUUGGCAUUCGCGUAGGAAAUCUUACGGUUUUGAAAGGAUGAAUCACUCGUCUAACUUCAUGUCCAAAAUGGAUUCAUCGACUGACAGUGGUAUUGGUCGUUCCACAGAUCUCAGCUCCAGCUGGUCAAGUGGAGGGGCCGAUGCUUCUCAGGGGAAUACCCGAGGUACGAUCGUAACAUUGGGAGAUCAGAAGGAAAAACCAACCAACACUGCUAUGGUUAUAAAAAUCACCAACGAAAGUCGGGAAAAGGAACGAGAACAACGUGAAGAGGACAUCAAGCGUCAUUCGAUCGCUGUCGACGAAACGAGUUACGUGCGUGAUAGUUUGAAAACUAUGUUCGAAAAGAAGUCUUCAGUUAGCGUCAAUGGAUUUAGUCACACCUUUAUCGAGGAACUUAACAAGAACAAAAAGAAGGUUGAGUUCUGCAAGACUGAGGUACACUUCACGGCGGAUUCCGGACGGGUUAAUAUCGUUGAAACGGACGAAAAACCUCCACCUACAAACAAUUUCCGGAGACGGCGUAGAUCUUCUGGGGGAUCCGUAGGAUCCUCCUACAUGCAGGCUAUCACUUCCGGAGCUCCAGUCACACAUUUCGGGGAUCUCGAGCAGGAAGUUAGCGAAACGGACCUUAAAGAAAAUCCCGUAUACACCGCACCUCCGGUUGUGACCACCUCUAUCGGUCGUCCGGAACCUAGUCCUCGUCGCUCGAUCGUAACCUCAGACGAGAGUGACAAUCAGUCGGCAGAUGAUAUCUCCCUAAGAGGAAUACUGAAAAACAAACCCGUGAAACCUAAACCUUACGUCCUGGGGGAGAAUAUGGCCAACAGUGAAAGUUUGUGGGGAGUUAAGCUGAGACCGGUCUCGACGGAACUCAACUACUGGCACGAGCAGGAGGAGUUGAGCGGAAAAUCACAAACUGCAGUAACUACGGAAGACAAAUCCGAUAGCGUUUCUCCAGCAACUUCCUUUUCGACGAAAAUAAAUCUUACAUCGGUUGCACCGAUUUCUAAAAAAUCAGAUGAAUCGUCGAUCGAUCCGAAAGGUACCACCAAAAUUCUGAUCGAUAUGUCCACCACCAAUUCCGUCAAUCAGAACCCUCUCAAAUCAACAUCCCUAAUCAUGCGAACGAUGCGUUCGGCUAACCAAUUCGACGAAGCAAUGAAAAGUUUGGAAGCCACCCGGCGAGAAUCCAUCGAUAGCAACGAAGCCAGCGAAGAACGGCGCUCAGCCUUCCACCUUAUCUCGAGCAGCUCCAUUGCCAAGUCAAGUUCCGCUAGUAGUAUCUACAACAACAAGGAAACACCCAAGCUCAAGGUUGCCAAAUACGCAGCAUCUCUCGACGGGGAUGUCGACGACUAUCCCCCAACGCGCUAUCGUGCUCCGAUGCCAGCUCUGAGACGGAGCUUUACCAACGAAUCUCGGCUGUCGGACUUCGAAGCCUUCAUCACCAAGAACAGCAGCAGCAGCAUCCGUCGAUCGAGUACGGACGAGUUCCCCUCGGUCGGGAUGGUUUCGAGUGUGUCCGCCUGUAAACCUGUGGCAGCACCCCGAUUGAAGAAGCUCGGAGGAUCUAGCGUAUUGAGCCAUCAGCUGACGCAGUUGAAGCGGCUGUACGAUGCAGCCGAACAGUACGACAGCGAUGAGAGCGCUAAAGCAGACGAAGAAGUCAAGCUGUACCUUGGCAACCUAACGAGUGAGGAACGCAUCACGAGCGAACUGUCCGGCAGCUGGAGUCGGCUUAAGGCCAAGCGCAACAUUCAAAAGUACCGGGAUCAGGAUCUGAAAAUCACUGUCAACUCCGUGUCAGAAUUUGAAAUAGUGAAACCUUCUUCGAAUGGAACCACAACAACAACCAUCAAUACGGAAGGGCCGCCGCGGAGUACCAAUAUCAUGUCCAUCGCACUGAAAAGUCCAAUCCUGUCGAAGAAAAAUCCUUCGCCAAGUACAGUUAAUCCUCCGCAAUCCCACGAAUCGCAACCGAAUCAGACCCAGCAACCCCUCUCGACCCACUUCAAACGACACAUCCCCUCGAAUGCCUCUAGCGACACGAACGGCACAGCACGAAACGAAGAACGGGCAUCGCUACGGCUGUCGUCCGGCGCACGACAACUCCGUGACCAUGAACUGUCAUUCUUCGGUGUCAACCCCAACAACAACAGCGGUAACGGUAAUAAACAGCAUUCAUCGGGUGAAACGAAACCGACCUUCACCCGGUCGACCACCCUGACGUCGUCCUUCAUCAAGCGCAACUCGAUCAACAUGAACCCCCUGUCAACUUCGUCUUCGACGAACUCGGUGAAGUCUUCCGCUGUCAACGUUCAGCAAUCGAAGACGACACAAAACUCAACACAGUGGCAGCUGUCAAACGACAAGCCGGAUUUGCUACGGCACAGCCAACGCAUCGAUCAAGCUGCUGCUAGCUUUUCUUCAACGACGCAGAACACGUCGAAGACGACGAAUGCACAAUACGAACCGCAGUACGAGAAUCUAGUCAAAGCAGCAGUCGCGGAGCCGAGCCAACCAGUGCAAACGUACGACCGAAAGAAGGAUCUCAAGCGAGACGAGCAGAUACUGGAGGAGCUCACUCGUGCUGCCGAUGAAAUUUUGAACGUUGUCAACAACAUGUCAAAUGCGGAAAGCACCGAAAGUUUGCUAAACGAAUUCCGCGGUUCGAAGACUUCUAGCACUCUGGGAACGAUCCGGGAAUGUUCAGCCAGCAGCAAAGUGAUGAAAUCGCGCGGCGUUCAGGUUUCAAAGAAUUUCGACGACAGCCUGAAGCGCCAUCAGCGAUCUGGUAGAGUUUCUUCAGCAUCGUCAAACGAAAGUCUAUCGCGAUCAUCACCUGCUCGAAUGACUACGGCGAUAAGCACCAGUCAGGCCCAAGAGUCCCGCAACGGAAUAAGUCGUCGCAAGCUACCGAACUCAUCUACAGAAUCUCGUCGGUUGAUCCGCAUGUGUAGCAAAGAACGUCUACACCAAUCCAACGCUAGCUCAUCGGAAGAUCUACCAAAUGCGGCCCCGGUGGAACCUCCACGGAGACCUCGACGAACUCGCUAUCACAACGGAGAGAAAGAUAAGGAAAGUCCACGAGCGAACGCUUCACGAUCAUCUACAAUUGAGAGCCGACGUAGUGACGAACGUACCCCAUCUAGCCGAUCGCAUCGUAGCGAACGAUCUUCCACGAGAACCAGUAAAGGUCACAGUACUUCGGCCGGAUUAUCUUCGUCCAGUGUAAUUCCGACCACAGCUCCCGUGAUCGAUCAGCAGCACCGCAGUAUUCGUACCAGCAGUAGCAGCAAAGCCACCGGACCCUCCGUCAUGACAACUACGGCUUCUUCACGUUCUUCUUCUUCCUGUACUCCUUUUCCAAUCAAACCUAGCCAGCAUAGCCUCUUGAUAGUUUAAGCAAAUAAGCGGGAUUCGUGCCGGAGAAACGCGUGCCGGAAUACUUUGUGAUAGGAACAAUAGAUCGUCCAAAAAGCAUCACCGGUGAGAUUCCGCCCUGCUCAGAUUAUCGUGUAGUUUAGCUAAUUGUUUGUGUGGCAAAUUUGAAUGAAAUUUAUGAAAUCAAAACACAAGUCUCAGAUUGACGCGUUUGAUGAAUUAUGCGUACCAUUUCAGGGAUGUUACGUCUGCUUUUUUGUUCGAAAAGGAAAAAAAUUGAAAAAAACGAUUAUAGACUUAGGUGUAAGAAAAAAAACGUGUAUACUAGUACUAACAAAGAUCUCGAAAUUUUUGGAAACAAACAAUCCACUAUCUAGGAAACGAAUCGAAGAGACACAAUCAAUCGAGAUGAAAUCAGCGAGAAGAAACAGGAGAAAAUUAAAACAUGACAAGUCGAAAAACGAGACGAACCUCGAAAUAUUUGAAUUGAUACUAACUUGUUUUCAUCGAAAUAUGCGAAUCGAACCGAUUUAUUUAACCACAUUUAAUGAUUUCCUGCCCCCGCAAAACGCGAAACUUAAAAGAAGUACUUCGACACGUACUUAGAGCUUGUUCCUAUUUUAUUCUAAACUCAGUGCUUACAUACAUGUAACAAAAUAAUUAUCGAAACUGUUAUAGUACUCAACUGCCAGAUUGUAGGUGUAAAAUUGUCCGAAGAGAGCAGGAGUUAUUAAGAAGAGUCAUUAUAUUUUGGGUGUGAAAUCCUAACUAACUCUCCGCACUAAUCCAGACUGGCUCAGAUUAAUCCAAUCGAUUGUUGUUUUUCAUUAGUCACUACAAUACGAACCUUCGAAAGAAGAAAUAGCACGCAGCGCUUUUUGUCUUGUUUUUUUUUUGCAGCAGAAUAUUGACUACGAUUUAACACAAAUUUUAUCAACGGUAAUUUACAAAACGAUACAUAUUUAUAUAAACUACAUAAAUAUAUACAGCAGAGUAGGUAAAUAAAGCUAUUUUGUGAAAUAAUGGAAAAAAUACAAAUGCUAAAACAGAUAA